UACGUAGGGGGCAAGCGUUGUCCGGAUUUAUUGGGCGUAAAGAGCGCGUAGGCGGUGAUCUAAGCGUGGCCUGAAAGCCCCCGGCUCAACCGGGGAGUGCGGCUGCGAACUGGGUUUCUUGAGGACGAUAGAGGAGAGUGGAAUUCCUGGUGUAGCGGUGAAAUGCGUAGAUAUCAGGAGGAACACCCGAGGCGAAGGCGGCUCUCUGGGUCGUGCCUGACGCUGAGGCGCGAAAGCGUGGGGAGCAAACGGG
rnacentral:rRNA from 1 species